GAUGAACGCUGGCGGCGUGCCUAAUACAUGCAAGUCGAGCGAAUAGACGAGGAGUUUGCUCCUCUGACGUUAGCGGCGGACGGGUGAGUAACACGUGGAUAACCUCCUUAUAAGACUGGGAUAACUUCGGGAAACCGGAGCUAAUACCGGAUAAUAUAUUGAACCGAAUGGUUCAUUAGUGAAGGACGGUUUUGCUGUACUUAAUAGAUGGUUCCCCGCCGAUUUAGCUAGUUGGUAAGGUAACGGCUUACCAAGGCAACGAUGCGUAGCCGACCUGAGAGGGUGAUCGGCCACACUGGAACUGAGGCACGGUCCAGACUCCUGAGGGAAGGAGCAGUAGGGAAUCUUCCGCAAUGGGGGGAAGCCUGACGGAGCAACGCCGCGUGGGUGAUGGAGGUCUUCGGAUCGGAAAACUCUGUUAUUAGGGAAAAACAAAUGGGGAAGUAACUAUGCACGUCUUGACGGUACCUAAUCAGAAAGCCACGGCUAACUACGUG
rnacentral:rRNA from 1 species